rnacentral:piRNA from 1 species
UAGAAAGACUGACCUUGUCUCUUUGUCUGG